rnacentral:rRNA from 1 species
CAAUAGCGUAUAUUAACGUUGUUGCAGUUAAAAAGCUCGUAGUUGGGUUUCUGGAGGGAGCGUCGGCCCGUAUUUACGAGUGCGUGACGUCUCUGUCCAUCCUUGCGGGAAGGCACGGCAUUGAUUUGUUGUGUCGGAUCGCAUCAUUUACUGUGAAAAAAUUAGAGUGUUCAAAGCAGGCUUUCGCUUGAAUACAUUAGCAUGGAAUAAUAAGAUAGGACUUUGGUGCUAUUUUGUUGGUUGAGCCUAAAGUAAUGAUUAAUAGGGAUAGUUGGGGGCACCUGUAUUGCGUUGUCAGAGGUGAAAUUCUUGGAUUUACGCAAGACAAACAGCUGCGAANGNGUCUGCNAAGGAUGUUUNCAUUA